rnacentral:rRNA from 1 species
GGACUACCAGGGUAUCUAAUCCUGUUUGCUCCCCUUGCUCUCGCGCCUCAGCGUCAGGUAUAAACUAGAAAACCGCUUUCGCCACAGGUGUUCUUCCACAUAUCUACGCAUUUCACCGCUACACGUGGAAUUCCGUUUUCUCCGUCCAUCCUCAAGAAAUAUAGUUUCAAAUGCAGCUCCGAAGUUGAGCUCCGAAAUUUCACAUCUGACUUAUCUUCCCGCCUACGCGCCCUUUACGCCCAAUAAUUCCGAUUAAUGCUUGCACUCUCCGUAUUACCGCGGCUGCUGGCAC